ACGGGAGGCAGCAGUGGGGAAUAUUGGGCAAUGGGCGAAAGCCUGACCCAGCAACGCCGCGUGAAGGAAGAAGGUCUUCGGAUUGUAAACUUCUUUUAUGUGGGACGAACAAAUGACGGUACCACAUGAAUAAGCCACGGCUAACUACGUGCCAGCAGCCGCGGUAAUACGUAGGUGGCAAGCGUUAUCCGGAUUUACUGGGUGUAAAGGGCGCGUAGGCGGGGAAGCAAGUCAGAUGUGAAAUCCAUGGGCUCAACCCAUGAACUGCAUUUGAAACUGUUUCUCUUGAGUGCUGGAGGGGUAAGCGGAAUUCCUAGUGUAGCGGUGAAAUGCGUAGAUAUUAGGAGGAACACCAGUGGCGAAGGCGGCUUACUGGACGGUAACUGACGUUGAGGCUCGAAAGCGUGGGGAGCAAACAGGAUUAGAUACCCUGGUA
rnacentral:rRNA from 1 species